ACCAAUUGGAAGGUCCUCUUUAACAUGGACUGAUUGUUGGAGCAAUUAAACCAUUUAUUUGUGCAAGUCACAACCUUAGCCAAGUCAAGAAGAUGAGUGAAAAAGACUAGCAAGUUUGGAUAAAUAAGCGUAGCUAAUAAGGCGUGGCACAGGUACAUACAGAUGAGUAGAAGAUUUGUCAGAAGAUGUUUCAGCAGGAUUGGCGAGCUCCAUUUGCUUCUGGAGUGUUGCCGAGUCAGAGUAUGUGUAUGUUCCGAUUUCUGGAUUGAUGUUAGAGACUUUGCAGACAGAGUCGUGGGUGUUGGUUGUCAGUCCUGUAAGCGGCUCCAUCAGCCGAUGUGUCAUUCUGUAUUAUGUGAUAAAUCCUAUAUGAUCACAGAAUCUGUUUGAU